rnacentral:rRNA from 1 species
GGAAUCUUGUGCAAUGGACGAAAGUCUGACACAGCCACGCCGCGUGCGGGAAGAAGGCCUUCGGGUUGUAAACCGCUAUCAGUAGGGAAGAAGCGAAAGUGACGGUACCUACAGAAGAAGCACCGGCUAACUAUGUGCCAGCAGCCGCGGUAAUACAUAGGGUGCAAGCGUUGUCCGGAAUUAUUGGGCGUAAAGAGCUCGUAGGUGGUUCGAUACGUCGGAUGUGAAAAUCAGGGGCUCAACCCCUGACCUGCAUCCGAUACGGUCGAGCUAGAGUUUGGUGGGGGAGACUGGAAUUCCUGGUGUAGCGGUGGAAUGCGCAGAUAUCAGGAGGAACACCGAUGGCGAAGGCAGGUCUCUGGGCCAAUACUGACACUGAGGAGCGAAAGCGUGGGGAGCGAACAGGAUUAGAUACCCUGGUAGUCCACGCCGUAAACGGUGGGCGCUAGUUGUGCGAACCUUCCACGGUUUGUGCGACGUAGCUAACGCAUUAAGCGCCCCGCCUGGGGAGUACGAUCGCAAGAUUAAAACUCAAAGGAAUUGACGG